ACACAGAGCCUGGACCCUGGCCAGCACCGAAGCCCAGAAGCUGGGACGCUACAUGUCGGCCUCCCGGCCACGUGGGCCCUCCCAGCACAGCCAGGGGCAGCUGGGCACCCGGCCUUGAGUGUGUCAGCCCAGAGACGUCACAACAGGGAAGUAGUGUGGAGUCAGACAGACCUGGGUUUGAAUUCAGACUAUCGGGCUGGGUGACUUGCCUCAAUUUUCCCAUCUUUAAAAUGGGAAUAUUAAUAGCAUCCCCCUUCAUUAUGAAUGAUAAGCCGUGGAAUAUGGCGAAAGGUGGAACAGCAUCCAUGAAUGUAGCUGGGUAUGCAGCCACCCUCGAGAAAGUCACCUAGCAAGGAACCAAGUUGAGAAACUGUGGCCCACAGUCCAACAACCCUCAAGGAAUCGAAUCCUGCCAGCAACCACGUGAGUGAGCAUGGAAGUCAUCCCUGGCUCGCACCUUGUCGAGCCCCCAGAGGGACCAGCCCCGGCUGACACCUUGAUGGAAACCCACAAGAGACCCUGAAGCAGAGGACCCAAGUGGGCCACACCUAGCCCCACAGAAACCAUGACAUAAUAAAUGUUGUCUU